AAGUGUUUCAGCUCUUUUAGAAUUUGUCCAGAAACCA
rnacentral:snRNA from 3 species